rnacentral:rRNA from 1 species
CGGUUUGUCGCGUCUGCCGUGAAAUUUCGGGGCUCAACCCCGAACUUGCGGUGGGUACGGGCAGACUAGAGUGUGGUAGGGGAGACUGGAAUUCCUGGUGUAGCGGUGAAAUGCGCAGAUAUCAGGAGGAACACCGAUGGCGAAGGCAGGUCUCUGGGCCACUACUGACGCUGAGAAGCGAAAGCAUGGGGAGCGAACAGGAUUAGAUACCCUGGUAGUCCAUGCCGUAAACGUUGGGAACUAGGUGUGGGUCUCAUUCCACGAGAUCCGUGCCGCAGCUAACGCAUUAAGUUCCCCGCCUGGGGAGUACGGCCGCAAGGCUAAAACUCAAAGGAAUUGACGGGGGCCCGCACAAGCGGCGGAGCAUGCGGAUUAAUUCGAUGCAACGCGAAGAACCUUACCAAGGCUUGACAUAUGCGAGAACGCUGCAGAGAUGCAGAACUCUUUGGACACUCGCAUACAGGUGGUGCAUGGUUGUCGUCAGCUCGUGUCGUGAGAUGUUGGGUUAAGUCCCGCAACGAGCGCAACCCUCGUUCUAUGUUGCCAGCACGUAAUGGUGGGGACUCAUAGGAGACUGCCGGGGUCAACUCGGAGGAAGGUGGGGAUGACGUCAAAUCAUCAUGCCCCUUAUGUCUUGGGCUUCACGCAUGCUACAAUGGCCGGUACAAAGGGCUGCGAAACCGCGAGGUGGAGCGAAUCCCAAAAAACCGGUCUCAGUUCGGAUUGGGGUCUGCAACUCGACCCCAUGAAGUCGGAGUCGCUAGUAAUCGCAGAUCAGCAACGCUG